rnacentral:tRNA from 1 species
GGCGUAGUCGCUCAAUUGGUGGAGCACCUGUCUUGAAAACAGGCAACCUGCAAGGGUAUGUAGGUUCGAAUCCUAUCUGCGCCG